AAAUGAGAUAAAACUUAUUGUUAGAGCUAGAAAAACAAGCUUGAAAUUUCUAUUUUAUACUCUAGUUUUCCAAGUUUACAGAAGCUAACACUAAUAGCACCAUUUUACCACACACUUUGGAGUCAGUUCUAAAAUAUUUUAAGAAUUUCAGAAACAGAUAUAGUAUAGCAACAUUGAGUAUAGAAAAAUUCAUCAAACUUUAUGCUAAAUUGAUGAGCAUUGAUAGUAACAAGGCGUGACAACAAAAGACAGAAAC
rnacentral:lncRNA from 1 species